rnacentral:rRNA from 1 species
CAGUCGCCGCGGGAAUACGUAGGUGGCAAGCGUUGUCCGGAAUUAUUGGGCGUAAAGGGCUCGCAGGCGGUUUCUUAAGUCUGAUGAGAAAGCCCCCGGCUCAACCGGGGAGGGUCAUUGGAAACUGGGAAACUUGAGUGCAGAAGAGGAGAGUGGAAUUCCACGUGUAGCGGUGAAAUGCGUAGAGAUGUGGAGGAACACCAGUGGCGAAGGCGACUCUCUGGUCUGUAACUGACGCUGAGGAGCGAAAGCGUGGGGAGCGAACAGGAUUAGAUACCCGAGUAGUCCCUGUCUCUUAUAC